AGACCUUUAGUUUGAAACCCCGAAACCAGGUGAGCUACCCCGAGACAGCCUAUUUAAAUUUAGGGCUAACCCGUCUCUGUGGCAAAAGAGUGGGAAGAGCUCCGGGUAGAAGUGACAGACCUACCGAACCUGGUGAUAGCUGGUUGCCUGAGAAAUGGAUAGAAGUUCAGCCUCGUACACCCCGAAUCAAAAAAUAUAACAUUAAGACAAUAAGGGAAACAUACGAGAGUUAGUUAAAGGGGGUACAGCCCCUCUAACAAAGGAUACAACCUUUACAGGAGGAUAAAGAUCAUAAUAUAUAAAACAUACUGUUUUAGUGGGCCUAAAAGCAGCCAUCUAAAUAGAAAGCGUUAAAGCUCAGACAGAAAGAAGUUUAUUAUACUGAUAAAAAAUCUUAUUCCCCUAAUAGUAUCAGGCUAACCCAUGCCCACAUGGAAGAAAUUAUGCUAAAAUGAGUAACAAGAAGACCUGCUCUUCUCCAAGCACAAGUGUAAACCAGAUCGGACAAACCACUGGAAAUUAACGAACCCAACCCAAGAGAGUAAUGUGAACAACAGAAAAACCAAGAAAACCCCACAUAUUAAUAAUCGUUAACCCCACACUGGAGUGCUAUUCCCAAAGGAAAGACUAAAAGAAAGGGAAGGAACUCGGCAAACACAAGCCUCGCCUGUUUACCAAAAACAUCGCCUCCUGCAACUAAAUUGAGUAUAGGAGGUCCAGCCUGCCCAGUGACUACGGGUUCAACGGCCGCGGUAUUUUGACCGUGCAAAGGUAGCGCAAUCACUUGUCUUUUAAAUAGAGACCUGUAUGAAUGGCUAAACGAGGGCUUAACUGUCUCCCCCUUCAAGUCAGUGAAAUUGAUCUAUCCGUGCAGAAGCGGGUAUAACUAUACAAGACGAGAAGACCCUUUGGAGCUUAAGGUACAAAAUUCAACCACGUUAAGCAACUUAAUAAAAAGCAAAAACUUAGUGGAAAAUGAAAUUUUACCUUCGGUUGGGGCGACCGCGGAGGAAAAACAAGCCUCCGAGUGGAAUGGGCCAACCCCCUAAAACCAAGAGAAACAUCUCUAAGCCACAGAACAUCUGACCAAAAAUGAUCCGGCCAACAUAAGCCGAUCAACGAACCAAGUUACCCUAGGGAUAACAGCGCAAUCCUCUCCCAGAGUCCAUAUCGACGAGGGGGUUUACGACCUCGAUGUUGGAUCAGGACAUCCUAAUGGUGCAGCCG
rnacentral:rRNA from 1 species